AUUUUCCUUCGGGGUCGGGUGAAAGUCCCAGCCGGCGGUAAUGAACAGUUUGUUCCGAGCCCGCGACGGGGAGUGAGUGUGAAGCACCAUUCCCCCUGAUUUGGUGCAUAUUCCAAAGCCGACAGUGAAAGUCUGGAUGGGAGAAGGAUGUG
rnacentral:ncRNA from 1 species